GUGGGGAAUAUUGGGCAAUGGGCGAAAGCCUGACCCAGCAACGCCGCGUGAAGGAAGAAGGUUUUCGGAUCGUAAACUUCUAUCCUUGGUGAAGAUAAUGACGGUAGCCAAGAAGGAAGCCCCGGCUAACUACGUGCCAGCAGCCGCGGUAAUACGUAGGGGGCAAGCGUUGUCCGGAAUGAUUGGGCGUAAAGGGCGCGUAGGCGGCCCGGUAAGUCUGAAGUGAAAGUCCUGCUUUUAAGGUGGGAAUUGCUUUGGAUACUGUCGGGCUUGAGUGCAGGAGAGGUGAGCGGAACUCCCGGUGUAGCGGUGAAAUGCGUAGAGAUCGGGACGAACACCAGUGGCGAAGGCGGCUUACUGGACUGUAACUGACGCUGAGGCGCGAAAGUGUGAGGAGCAAACAGGAUUAGAAACCCGAGUAGUCC
rnacentral:rRNA from 1 species